AGUUUUGUCCCAACAAGAGGCAUCAGGCAUGAUGUAUCCCCCCCCCCCCCCGGCCCCAACAAGACCCAAUUUAUAACUAUACUGGUUUGAUUUGGUGUAAUUCAACCACUGUUAUGCACACCAACUUAAUUUAGGAUGUGUCGUAUCCCAUUCUAAGUUCAAUUUUUAUGGGAAGGAUGGAGUAGGACAGAACAGGCUCCUCUUUAGCUAUUGGCAGUGACGCUGACCGAAACAUUCAUGAACAACACGUUCGCUGUGUUCUCGGAGGCCUUCUAGUCCUAGCUAGUUGUGAGAUCUGAUUGUUGCUGUUGUGGAUAAUGAAAGACACAGGAUAAGUCAAGUGAACAGGAUAUGCUAGUAGGAGGGAUUAGGAAUGAAAAAAAGUAGUGCUUCGACAGGAAACAAAAAUAUGAGCUGAGAACAAAAUCAAGAACAACCUGAAGUCUGGCCACAACAGAAUCCUAAAAUCUUCUGAUAAAAAAAACAGAAUCCUAAAAUCAACAAUAUCCCAAAUCAGGAAUAAAUCAAGAACACAGAAAAAUCAAACCGUCGUCGGCUGCGCCCACCCCCAAACCGUCGUCAUUGCUGCCUUCACUCCGUGUAGCCAUGGACCAUCUGCUGGGGAGGUAGAGUAGCCUUCACCGUAGCUCGCCAAGGAGGGAGAUGCUGCCACUGGAUCCACCCAAUGGUGAGGCCCCGACGUAUCUGCACGAGCGAGCCCCUGCUGCCGAUAGAUCCGCAUGAGCGAGCCACAGCUGUCACCAGAUUCCACGCGCGAGCCGCUGUUGCUGCACACCACCGAGGGGCCUGCGCCGCUGCGCGCUGCCACCAAGUGUAGUUGCUCUAUUUUAUUUCCCUCGUGCCUAGUUUGCAACUUAAUUUUCUCCCAUGUUUUAAGUUUGUUGGGCAAAAGUCUUUUCCUUGAAUUUGAAACUUCUGGGUUGCAAGUGCAUGAUGUGAAUCUAAGUUGUUGUGGGAUAUAAGGUAGUGAAAUAAAGAUGCUAUGAUCUUAUUUUCGAGUGAAACUUGACAUCCAGAGCUUUUAUCUUGAAAAUAAUGAAAAAUGAUAAGUUCCUCAUUGAUGAUAAAUUCCAACGAGAGCCAUGUGAUGAGUAUAGUGCAAAACAUUUAGACAUAUGUUAUUUGUUAUUACAAUGAACUUUGUCAAUUUCUUAUAACUGUUGUGUGAUGUUUUUCCUGCUUUCAUCAUUAAGAUAACGUACAUCCACCAUAUAUGCUCAACCUCUAGGGGUUAGCAAAAGCAUGCCACCAAAUAAAGUACUCCAUAGAUUGAUCAAAAUGUCUCCCCUAGUACUUUGCAAAAGUGGUGGUUAUGGAAGAAAAAAAAUAAAAAGAGAUAGCAAGGAAAAUAAUCUCAAGCAUCAUUAAAAAAAAAAGAGAAAGAAAGAACAUAGAAGAAGGAUAGCCAUGUUUCCCAUGUAGAUACAAAUGAGGGCAUUAGAAAAGGAGUACUAUCAAAUACCCACACACAUGAACAACCGCACACUUGCACAUCUUGAUCUGAUUGUAUUACUUUUUCCCUCCUUAAACCAGUUUUUGAUUUUACAUUAUAUAUGAUGCAAGUAAUGCCUCAUAUAUUUCCCUUACUUUGAGCUCCACAUAAUCCUUUUAGAAGUAGAAUAAAAAGAGGCAACACUAUGCCUUGGUGAGGAUUUAUACACAUUGAGUGAUCUAAGAGCAUCACUUCAGGAACUUUGAUCUUGUUUUGCAUAAUUCCUGAAAAAAAUAUCUGAAAAGAAAGUUGAUCAUAGAGUAAGUGAAUGAUAUUCUACAAACUAUUAUGUCCUUCAACUAACCAAGAUGAAGAGAAGCUAACGAUAUUAUUGUCAACUUGUUCAAUUCAUGGUCAAAGAUUAUGUUGUAGGCAUGGUAUCUUUGAGAAAUAAAACAUUGUAACUCUUGAUGAAUUGAACUUAGGCUUUAUCUUUACUCAGGAUGAGGAAAGGUUUAGCUUGCAUGAGUAUUUAUUAGUUUCAAAAAAUGUAGUUCCACUUGUCCUUGGACAAUAUUAUGAACGUAGGGAUUACUUAUAAAAUGAAGGAGAAAAUGAGCAGCUAUAAAAGGAGGAGAAGCUCUCACACUCAAAGCACACACUUGGAAAGCAACCUCUCUCUCGUUUAUAUUGCUCUCUAGAUUAGUGGAGUUUAGGCUUAGAGUUUUUUUUUUCUUAAUUUGGUUUCCAAGCCUUCUUGGAUAUUCGGGUGUAAUUAUCAAGCCAUCACCGAUGAUCUUCCAUGACGGGUGGUAAAACAUCCCAUCAACGGUGACAACAUCACCUUGGCUGGGUUGAAGUUGGAGCCCGUCACCAACAACACGUCCGCCAUGGGCUGAAAAACUUAUGUGUGACAGGUGGGAGUUGGGACCCUACAAAUAUUUCUAUCAUCGGUGACAGCUAUUCGCCCGACAUAGAUGAGUUUUUCAAAUCAGUGACCACUAAUCAAUGACCACGCACUUUGCCGACAAUAAUGUGGGUUCCAAUCCAUUACGGAUGAUUGGUUCUAUAGUCGUCUGACUAAUCAGCUUGCUGGCUUGCUGUGGAUGACAAGCUUUAUUGUGCUGGUAAGAGGAUACACAAAUGCAAAGACUUCAAACGUGUCACAUAAUGCCCUUUCUAGACAUAGGGAUAUCUUAUGGUUGUCCAUCAAAAGAAGCCAUACUUUUUAGUGUUAAUUUGUAAUAACCGGAAUAUGCAUGUUGGAAUAAAACAACAUAUACAAUUAGAGUCGAAGUUACAUAUAGAGAUAUAUAGGAAUAUAUAUAGUAUGAGUGCCUAAUCUGCUACUGAAGCUAAUGCAUUAAAGACUCAUUCAACAUGCAGCAGGGGCGGAAUCAGCCAACCAACAUCUAAAUACAAAUAAAAUCACAUCAGAUUACAUCGGCCUUAACAUCUAGGCCCCGAGCCACAGUGUUACAUUUCAAUUAUUCAUGUCUAACUGUAAAACUUUAGCUCAUGUAAAUGCUAUUCUCUUGGAAAUUCAAAUAAUUCUAAAAAACAUUACUCUGCUAGCUAGUACCAUGUAGAAGCUGUGCGUGCUUCAUGUGUCACCACACACGCACGCAGCUAUACCGCUGCUAGCUGCUAUUGCCAUGGCACACAUCACCACCCAGCAUAGCCCCUAGGCUAGCUCUAAGUGCUCUACCUUGUGCCAACUGAGCCGACACCUGAGAUCCCCUUCACCAUGGCUGCACCUGCCAUACAGGAUUGCAGUGUCUAGGGCUAGUGGCAUGGCACUCAAGAGGUUGCCUCCAGAAGUCCUGAUGGCUAAGACCGUUGUGAAGAAAGCUUUGUCAGUAGCAUGCCUCCUAUUCCAAUAUUGGAAAUUAAGAUGUUCAUGUACAAUUUUAACUUUGCAAAAUAUACUUCGCAUAUUCACUAGAAUUAACACUAUUGGAUGGUGUGACAUUAUAAACCAGGCCAGCAUCAAGCAUGUUUCUCC